rnacentral:rRNA from 1 species
GUCUACGGCCAUACCACCCUGAACGCGCCCGAUCUCGUCUGAUCUCGGAAGCUAAGCAGGGUCGGGCCCGGUUAGUACUUGGAUGGGAGACCGCCUGGGAAUACCGGGUGCUGUAGCUU